rnacentral:tRNA from 1 species
GCCGGUGUGGCUCAGUGAUUAGAGCAUUGGCCCGCAUACCCAAGGGUCACAGGUUCAAUUCCCAGUCAAGGGCA